AAAGUGGCGAACGGCUGAGUAACACGUGGGCAACCUGCCCUUUGCACUGGGAUAGCCUCGGGAACCGAGGUUAAUACCGGAUACUCCAUAUUUGUCGCAUGGCGAAUAUGGGAAAAGCUCCGGCGGCAAAGGAUGGGCCCGCGGCCUGUUAGCUAGUUGGUGGGGUAGUGGCCUACCAAGGCAAUGAUGGGUAGCCGGGUUGAGAGACCGACCGGCCAGAUUGGGACUGAGACACGGCCCAGACUCCUACGGGAGGCAGCAGAC
rnacentral:rRNA from 1 species